GACUUUCUACACCCAUUGUCUUCAGGAUCUUCCCGGAGUAACAAUUAAUGAUGUUCAACGCAUCAUUCAGGCUGCGACAUCAGCACCAAGGAGUAAGCGAGAGAAGGGCUUCAAAAUGUUCAUCUCCACUUCUUACAUUGAUAAUUACGAAGAUUGUCCUUGAGGACUCCUCCCCUGUGCAGAUGAAUGAUGCAGAGUGUUCAUGUGUGGCUGGAACAGCACUGUGCAACCAUAAUGUUGCACUGCUGUUCCAGACUGCACACUACUCUCAGCUGAACAUUGCUGCUGUUCCCCCAGUCCUGAGUUGUACAGAGACAGAGCAACUCUGGCACAAGCCAAGAAUUAUGUCGUGCCCACCACAGAAUACCCGGAAGUUAAGAGACGCCAUCUGGUGCACCAGGCCAAUAUCCCAACACGAAAACGCAUAUGUCUGUUGUUAACUUUUCAAGCCAUGGGAUCUGGUUUCACAAAAGUGAGUUUUUGGG
ensembl:lncRNA